rnacentral:ncRNA from 2 species
CGAGCCGCGGCGGGAGAGCCCCCGCCGACGAGCGGGGCGCCGUAGGAGCAACCCUCCCCGGGAAUCUCUCAGGCACCCGUACCGCCGCGGCGAG